UGAAUACGAGACGCUACGGCGUCGAAGCAGUCUAUGUCAUACUUCCAAGAAAAGCUCGCAAUGUCAUAAACAAAUAAUGCCUGUACCAUAACCGACACAGGUGGGUAGGUAGAGUAUACUAAGGGGCGCGAGAUAACUUUCUCUAAGGAACUCGGCAAAAUGACUCCGUAACUUCGGGAGAAGGAGUGCCUUAUUUAUAAGGUUGCAAUAACAAGAUCCAAGCAACUGUUUAUCAAAAACACAGGUCUCCGCUAAGUCGUAAGUCGAUGUAUGGGGGCUGACGCCUGCCCAGUGCCAGAAGGUUAAAGAAGUUGGUUAGCAUUCGCGAAGCUGAUAACUGAAGCCCUGGUGAACGGCGGCCGUAACUAUAACGGUCCUAAGGUAGCGAAAUUCCUUGUCGGGUAAGUUCCGACCCGCACGAAAGGCGUAAUGAUUUGGAUACUGUCUCGGAGAGGGGCUCGGUGAAAUAGACUUGUCUGUGAAGAUGCGGACUACCUGCACCUGGACAGAAAGACCCUAUGAAGCUUUACUGUAACUUGAAAUUGAAAUUGGACUUUAUUUGCGCAGCAUAGGUGGGAGGCGUUGAGAGUAUUCUUGCGGGAAUAUUGGAGCCAUCAGUGAGAUACCACUCUUGUAAUGUUAGAUUUCUAACUUUGGAUCAUUAUCUGGUCAAAGAACAGUUUCAGGCGGGCAGUUUGACUGGGGCGGUCGCCUCCCAAAUGGUAACGGAGGCGUACAAAGGUUUCCUCUGAACGGGUAGAAAUCGUAUCUAGAGUGUAAAGGCAUAAGGAAGCUUGACUGUGAGACCUACAAGUCGAGCAGGGACGAAAGUCGGUCUUAGUGAUCUGACGGUGCUGAGUGGAAAGGCCGUCACUCAACGGAUAAAAGUUACUCUAGGAUAACAGGCUGAUCUCCCCCAAGAGUUCACAUCGACGGGGAGGUUUGGCACCUCGAUGUCGGCUCAUCGCAUCCUGGGGCGGUAGUACGUCCCAAGGGUUGGGCUGUUCGCCCAUGAAAGCGGUACGCGGGCUGGGUUCAGAACGUCGUGAGACAGUUCGGUCCAUAUCCGGUGUAGGCGUUAGAAUAUUGAGAGGAGCCUUCUUUAGUACGAGAGGACCGAGAAGGACAUACCUCUGGUGUACCAGUUAUCGUGCCAACGGUAAACGCUGGGUAGCUAUGUAUGGAGAGGAUAACCGCUGAAAGCAUCUAAGUGGGAAGCCCACC
rnacentral:rRNA from 1 species